rnacentral:sRNA from 1 species
GCUGCUGCUGCAAAUGUUGCUGCUGCUGAUGUUGCUGUAGAUGUUCCUGCUGGAGAUGUUGCUGCUGCUGCAAAUGUUGCUGCUGC